rnacentral:rRNA from 1 species
UAAUACAUGCAAGUCGUACGCUAGCCGCUGAAUUGAUCCUUCGGGUGAAGUGAGGCAAUGACUAGAGUGGCGAACUGGUGAGUAACACGUAAGAAACCUGCCCUUUAGUGGGGGAUAACAUUUGGAAACAGAUGCUAAUACCGCGUAACAACAAAUCACACAUGUGAUCUGUUUGAAAGGUCCUUUUGGAUCGCUAGAGGAUGGUCUUGCGGCGUAUUAGCUUGUUGGUAGGGUAGAAGCCUACCAAGGCAAUGAUGCGUAGCCGAGUUGAGAGACUGGCCGGCCACAUUGGGACUGAGACACUGCCCAAACUCCUACGGGAGGCUGCAGUAGGGAAUUUUCCGCAAUGCACGAAAGUGUGACGGAGCGACGCCGCGUGUGUGAUGAAGGCUUUCGGGUCGUAAAGCACUGUUGUAAGGGAAGAAUAACUGAAUUCAGAGAAAGUUUUCAGCUUGACGGUACCUUACCAGAAAGGGAUGGCUAAAUACGUGCCAGCAGCCGCGGUAAUACGUAUGUCCCGAGCGUUAUCCGGAUUUAUUGGGCGUAAAGCGAGCGCAGACGGUUUAUUAAGUCUGAUGUGAAAUCCCGAGGCCCAACCUCGGAACUGCAUUGGAAACUG